CCAGCAGGCAGUUCAGCACCACCCAGCCGCUCGCUAACUCUCCCCAGUUGGGAUGGGGAAGAGAACUGGAGAGUCAAGAGUGCAAGAACACGAGUUGAGAUAAAGUCAGUUCACUAGGAAAAGCAAACACCACAUGAAAGCAAAGCAACACAAGGAAUUCAUUCAUUAACUCGCAUCAUCAGGAAGGUGUUCGGCCACUUCCAGGAAAGCAGGGCUCAUCAUACAUAACAGUUUCUAGGGAAGACAAACACCAUCACUUCGAACAUCCUCCGCAUUCCUCCUCCUUUACCCCGGCUGUGUUGCUGAGCACGAAGCCACGGUACGGCAUAUUCCUUCGGCCACCUGGGUCAGCUGCUCGCUGACAGGGCCGCACGAGGGACAGAAAAGCCAAGCCCUUGACUCUUCCACAAGCACUGCUCAGAAAAAAAAAUAAACCAUUUAUGUGUUAUCACCACUUUUUUCAUCAAAAAUCCCAAACAUAGCACCAUAAGAGCGUCUGUGAAGAAAAUUAACUCUGUCCCAGCUGAAACCAAGCACAUAAAAGUUCACUGGCCAUAUAAAGGCAGCUCAAUUCUCCACUCAGUUUGCCAAGCAGUGUCGAACCUGGAGAAUGCUCUCUGUGUCUAUACUGGUCCUUACGAUGAAGUUCGAGAUGUGGAAAGUGACAUUAUGCAUGGUGAGAGCUUGAGAUGCUGGCAAUAUUAUUCAACGAGCAGAUACCUGAGAAGUUUGGAGCUGCCAAUUGAAACAAAGGGAGCAGCAAGAAAGGAGGUUGUGGAAAAUGUAUUGUUGAUGACUCCUGGCCUGGAAUUGAAUCCCUAGGUGAGCGCUGAGACAGUCCCUUGAAUGCUAAUGAGAUGCUUAAUAUUAUCUAGUACCUUGGCUGACUUUGUGACUAGAGAAAAUAGAGAGCAAGGAAAGGAAAUACAAAACAGUGUUUGGAGAUCUGGGAGAUAUAGUGCCCAGACUGCUGCUAUCUCAGAUGGGGAAAAAAAAGAAAAAAAAAAAACACAUGACCUGCAUAAAUCAUGAAAAAGAUGCAUUUGAAGGACAACAAAGAUCUUUCUUCAUGGCAAAGAGCAGAGGUUUGGUAGCAUGUUGCAACCAUGAGACUCACAGACCUUGCGGCACUCUCUCUGCAGGACACCAGCAGAAGACAGACUGAGAUCCACAAGGGGUGACCAAAGUGCACCACGAUGUUCUCUCACUCAUUUUGUUCUGUAUUCAGGACAGAUUUUUACUCAACUGUGUUGAGUUGUCAAUUGAAAUGUAAAGCAUUUAUCCCACUUUUAC
rnacentral:lncRNA from 1 species